GCAGAUCAUUUGACACUGAUGUUAUGCAUUGAGAGCUUUGAGAUAGAGAAUUUUGAUGUGCCAAAAGUCUUGCCUGCAACUCUUCAAUCUUGUUUUUCAUUUUCAACAUUUUUUAUCUUUGUUCCAACAUUACACGUUUGCACAUGUUCUGUUAGGAACUUCUCCCCAGACAUCCGAUGGGGAAACUCCUUCUCUGAACAUCCUAACACAACCAGGUUUGUCUUGACCAGUAACUUGAGCAUAUAGAUCAUUAGGUCCAACUGUAUCUUCGAAGCCUUCUGGGAGUUGGCUUCUUAAUUCUUCAAUUUCUUCCUGCGAGUUUUAAGUAAAAAUACAAAUUUAAAUAUUGUUGAUAGAAGAUAAAUGUAUAUGAUAAAGUAAAUAGUGAAUAAAUAAAUCUUAGCAAAAUAUUUCGUUUCCUAAUUUGUUCAUAUCGUAUACUCGUCACAAUUAAGAAUAACAUAGAUAAAGAUAAAAUAGUAACGAUAGAGAAAAAUAACAUUAUAUGCCAAAGCAAAAGGUUGAGUACCAUUAUGUGGCAGGGAGAAAUAGAGUUCAACUCAAAGGUGGAUGAUUGGAUUCAAUUCGAAUAUAUUCAAGUAUUCAUAGGUCAUAGUGAAAACCAUGUAUGCAGCAAAUAAAGUGGAAAAUGGAAUGAGCUGAUCUUGUAAUGAUUAGUUGACCAAAUUGUAUUUAUUUGAAAUACAGAUCAGAAGUGGGCAAAUAGAGAUCAACUAGUAUUUUUCUAUAACAAUUAGUGUAAAAGACAUGACAUACUAAUAGUGCAUUCUCUUUAUAAAUGAUGUGUGCAUUCCUCAAUAAUAAAUAAAAACAUGGGCAUGAAGCCUUAUGAUACAGAUCGAUUACAUGUUUCUACUGCCAGACUUAGUACCAUCUCUAGGUAUUAGACAAGUAUUACAAUUGCUAUAGUGCUAAGUACUGUGAAAAAAUAACUCUGUCUAAUUGCAAGUCAUAAAUAUGAUGGACACCCCCCACAAGUGCGAAAAGCAAACGAGUAUCAGAUUUGUACUUACAAGUGAAGCAAUGAGAAAUCUUACUUCUGGUUUAAAACCUCUGUUUGCAUCAACUCCAGAAGCUCUCUGCACACAAAAAUCAACUUCCAUCAUUACUUGUUACCACACAAACCAACCUUUAUCAUUACUUGUUUCCACGAAUUAGAAUCUACACUUUGUCAAAAAACAGAGAGGUAGGAUCUGCAUAAGUUUUGACCUUAUUCUUAAUACAAGAUUUUGACUUUUAAUGGCAAUUUCAGACGAACUGUCACUGCCUUGCAUAAUAUGCCCUAUUAAAAGCUUCGAUUCAGAAACAUUUCUAAGCAACGCCUCAGUUCGGGUAAUGCUAAAACAGCUGCUGAGAUUAUGACCAAUAAAGAACAACAAAGUUUUGUCUUCUCCUUCGUAAAAGUUAUAUGCAAACAAAAAAGCUUCAGACAACAUCUUCUACAAGCGAUGAAGAUAAAAUAAGAGGAACAUAAUGUCGAUGAAGAGUGCGAGCGAAUCUGAAUUUUCAUGGAGCAUAACAGAAUCAAAAGAGUAGGUGUCUUACCUACUUCGGCUGUCUUCGAAUUGGCAACGAUUUCAGAUUUCGAACUCCUAAAAUUAAGAUUGAGAAACGAUAUGAGAUCAAGAAUAAGGGGUUUUUUGAUUUCUAAUUUCCUGAUAACCGUCCAAUCAUGGUUAGAUUUUGUGCGCCAAAUCAAUUUUUACCGGGAGAGGGAAAAUGUGCUCAAGGGUUCUUGAGGUGUUUAAAUUUGUU
rnacentral:lncRNA from 1 species